CGAACGGGUGAGUAACCGUGGGUGAUCUGCCCUGCACUUUGGGAUAAGCCUGGGAAACUGGGUCUAAUACCGAAUAGGACCACGCGCUUCAUGGUGUGUGGUGGAAAGCNUNNNCGGUGUGGGAUGGGCCCGCGGCCUAUCAGCUUGUUGGUGGGGUAAUGGCCUACCAAGGCGACGACGGGUAGCCGGCCUGAGAGGGUGACCGGCCACACUGGGACUGAGAUACGGCCCAGACUCCUACGGGAGGCAGCAGUGGGGAAUAUUGCACAAUGGGCGCAAGCCUGAUGCAGCGACGCCGCGUGAGGGAUGACGGCCUUCGGGUUGUAAACCUCUUUCAAUAGGGACGAAGCGCAAGUGACGGUACCUAUAGAAGAAGCACCGGCCAACUACGUGCCAGCAGCCGCGGUAAUACGUAGGGUGCGAGCGUUGUCCGGAAUUACUGGGCGUAAAGAGCUCGUAGGUGGUUUGUCGCGUUGUUCGUGAAAACUCACAGCUUAACUGUGGGCGUGCGGGCGAUACGGGCAGACUAGAGUACUGCAGGGGAGACUGGAAUUCCUGGUGUAGCGGUGGAAUGCGCAGAUAUCAGGAGGAACACCGGUGGCGAAGGCGGGUCUCUGGGCAGUAACUGACGCUGAGGAGCGAAAGCGUGGGGAGCGAACAGGAUUAGAUACCCUGGUAGUCCACGCCGUAAACGGUGGGUACUAGGUGUGGGUUCCUUCCUUGGGAUCCGUGCCGUAGCUAACGCAUUAAGUACCCCGCCUGGGGAGUACGGCCGCAAGGCUAAAACUCAAAGGAAUUGACGGGGGCCCGCA
rnacentral:rRNA from 1 species